CUUAAAAAAAAAGUAAUUAAGAUGAAAGUUAUGUGUUCUUAUAAGCAUUUUAUUAAUUGCAUUAAUAUACGUGCUGCUUUAUCAUUUCCCCCAUUAUUUUUACAUAAAGCUACUACAUGCCAGCCCAUUCCUAGAGAUAGAUACAGAAAAAUAAAUCCUGACCAGUGUAUUCUUGAUCUGUAUUGGUAAAAAAGAUUGUAAGAUACAAUUUUUUUAAUGAAAUUUAAGGCAACCUGAAAAGAAUUCAGAUAACUUUUAGUAAUGAGCUAAACCAAAAAAGAUGUGUAUGAAAUAACAAAGCAGGAGACUUGUUAAUUAACUACAAAAACAACUGAAAAAGAAAUAAUUGUCUAAAGUGUCCUUCAUUUAUUAGCUGAUUCAAGUGCAUAUAGACACUCUGGAAAACACUCAGUGUUUCUUGGAAAUAAAUAAACUUAGAAUCCUUUUUCUUUGAAAAUUUCUGUCACCUUUCAUGACACAAAGACUCAAGAAUGGAUGGAUGACUGUAUGAAUCUUUUCGUUAUUCUGAAGGAACUCUUUACUUGACUCAAAUGAAAACAAUUAUUUUUAAUCUGGAGCUUUAGAAAUAGCUCAAGUAACUGUUGCUCACUAUUUAGUCAUCAUUUUUAACAUGCCAUUGUUAAUAAAAUGUAACAAUUAUUUUUUUUUUCUAUUUCUUUUUAAAAAAAUUUCCCAUUGCACUUAAGAGAUGCUUAUCUAAUUUUCAAACAAAACCAAACUUUUUGACUGAAACUAAUAAGUAAAUCUAAAUCUGGCAGGAGGUGUGGAUAUGAAUUGGGCUCAGUUGUAGUUUAAAAUAUGCCAAUGAAGAGCAACGCUUUAAUGUAAGAAAUUAGUUGAUGGUGACAUGAAAUUGGAGGAGGACUUGUUGUUUCGUGAGACAGAAAGACUAUUUACAAGUAGGGACAGAGAUCCCCCACUCCAUAUCCAACAGAACCAGACGGCGUACGUCCGACACAACAAAAUCCUUCAACAGCGGAGCCCAGCUGUUGAGUCACCAGCCAAGAAAGCACUUCAGACUCUGGGAACAAUCACCUCAUCUGAAAAACUGUGAAUCACAGCCUCAUUACAUGUAAAUGAGGACAGGAGGCUAGAGUGUGAGCUGAUGUCAUGAAAACCAUGAAGAGGAGCCAGAGCUCAGAUCAAAAUCAAGCUAAGAAAUCAACUGAGGAGAGUGAAGUGAGGCCCAGAAAAGCAGACACCUGCAUGUGACUCUCACCUGAUAUACUAAAAGCAGACAAAUCCCACUGCACGUGCCCUACAUGCUUCAGACUCCAUAAAGACAACUUGAUUUAAAGGAGAAAACAGAUGGACACAUUCCCUCUGAGAG